rnacentral:rRNA from 1 species
CUUAGCCCUUUAGACUGGGAUAACAGAGGGAAACUUCUGAUAAUACUGGAUAAGUUAGUAUAUCGCAUGAUAUGCAAAUGAAAGCUACGGCACUAAAGGAGAGCUUUGCGUCCUAUUAGCUAGUUGGUAAGGUAAGAGCUUACCAAGGCGAUGAUAGGUAGCCGGCCUGAGAGGGUGGACGGCCACAAGGGGACUGAGAUACGGCCCUUACUCCUACGGGAGGCAGCAGCG